rnacentral:rRNA from 1 species
UUUUUUAAUUAAAAACUUGUAUGAAAGGUUGAAUGAAAUAUUAACUAUUUUAUGAAAAUUUAAUUAAAAUUUUAUUUUUUAGUUAAAAAGCUAAAAUUUUAUUAUAGGACGAGAAGACCCUAUAGAAUUUUAUAAUUAUAAAAUUAUAAUUUAUAUAGUAUAAUUUAAUUUUUAUUUAUUAAAUUAUUUUAUUGGGGUGAUAGUAUAAUUUAAUUAACUUAUAAUUUUUAUAACAUUAUUUUAUGAUUUUAUUGAUUUUGUUUUUAUAAAUUAAAAGAUUAAAUUACCUUAGGGAUAACAGCGUAAUUUUAUUUUUAAGUUCUUAUUUAUAAUAAAGAUUGC